GAUGAACGCUGGCGGCGUGCCUAAUACAUGCAAGUCGAGCGAACAGACGAGGAGCUUGCUCCUCUGAUGUUAGCGGCGGACGGGUGAGUAACACGUGGAUAACCUACCUAUAAGACUGGGAUAACUUCGGGAAACCGGAGCUAAUAACGGAUAACAUGUUGAACCGCAUGGUUCAACAGUGAAAGACGGUCUUGCUGUCACUUAUAGAUGGAUCCGCGCCGCAUUAGCUAGUUGGUAAGGUAACGGCUUACCAAGGCAACGAUGCGUAGCCGACCUGAGAGGUUGAUCGGCCACACUGGAACUGAGACACGGUCCAGACUCCUACGGGAGGCAGCAGUAGGGAAUCUUCCGCAAUGGGCGAAAGCCUGACGGAGCAACGCCGCGUGAGUGAAGAAGGUCUUCGGAUCGUAAAACUCUGUUAUUAGGGAAGAACAAAUGUGUAAGUAACUAUGCACGUCUUGACGGUACCUAAUCAGAAAGCCACGGCUAACUACGUG
rnacentral:rRNA from 1 species